rnacentral:lncRNA from 1 species
UGCCCAGCCCCGCGGGGUGUUUUUGGGGCCGGGCCGCUCCUUACCUUAUCCUGUGUGACGCAGGGCCACGCCGAGGGAAAACCUGAGUCAUCGCCCUUUCCUCCCGCUCCGGGAGGCAACGCGCCGCCGGAGCCCAACGCCAAAGCCAGGCUUCCCCAGGAGCCCGAGUCCUGCUCCCCCGUCUCCUUUCCAGGAAAUCCAAAUAUUUCCCCCUCCACCCCAGGUAAUCCUAAAAUGAAGCCAAAAGGGGCUGAGAGGAACUAUGGGACCACACAGCAUCCGUGCAAAGCAGGCCCAUAGAGUAAGCAGAAAAUCAUCCCGUGCUGCAGAUGUUUUUGCAUGCUCCUCCUCUGCAAAUAUACCUGCAUCCAAGGUCUGGGCUGCGGCUUCUCUGUGCCAAGAGUAGUCCACAAACAGCACCCGCUGCCCUUCUGUACUGAGACUGAAUGCCCUGAAAUAAGCAACCAACAAAAAUAGGGGAAGAGAAAAAGAAGCAGCCUGAUCAGAGGGAAUGUCAGCUGAUAAAGUAACAAAUCUAUUUGCUAAUGUAACUUUUAUAACCCCUGAGAAACUCAGCCAAAAAUCAAGCAAUUCCCUUGCCUUGCUUUGGUGCCAAGUGACUUUCAAUCUG